rnacentral:lncRNA from 1 species
UUUGGCGGCGAGCGCCUCGCAAGGUCUCGUAGGGGUGAUUGCUGCUGUAUUUCUCGGAGUUAAGGUCGUAGUAAUACUUGCCGUUUUCCAAGUAGCGCGUGUCGCUCAUUCCUUGAGGCUGGAAGGAGUUGCGGCGGCUGCUGAAGGUGGCGGCGCCCUCGCUCUGCCCCUGCGGCUGGAAGGAGUUGCGGCCGUUGCUGAAGGUGGCGGCGCCCUCGCUCUGCCCCUGCGGCUGGCUGUUGAAGCUGCUCCCGCCAUUGUAGUAGAAGUUGCCGGCGGCGUUGUCUCCGUUGUUGGCGGCGGCGGGGUAGCUUCUGAACUCGGUAUCCUCCUCUUGCUGCUGCUGGUUGUUGUUGUAGUAAUUCUGCGCGCCGCUGUAAUAAUUGUUUCUGUUGUUGUCGUUGUCGGGAUGGGUGGCGCUGAAGCUGCUUUCCUCGGGGAAGGCUGCGGUGCCUUGGUUUACGUCAGAUUCGGGCUGGGUGACGUAGGCCACCGGGUUGUAGUUCUUGGGGAGGUAUUUGUUGACGGGUUGUUUGAAUUCGGCGGCGGCGGGGGUGGUGGUGGUGGUGGCUGCGGUGGAGGGAGGGUUUUGGCCGGACUCGUGGCCGUAGAGGCCGUAGCUGUUCUCGUUUUCCGGGAGGAAAUUGGGCUCUUGCUGAUUGGUGGAAGCUUCUUUGUUGUUGGGGACAACAACGUUGUUGGUGGUGCUGGGGAUUUUGUUGAAGAACUGGCUGUCUCUUGCAUGGAUAUGCAGAGAGGAGAAGAGGGUGAGGAGGAGGAAGAGGGAGAGUUUCAUGGCGGGGGAAGCCAUUGCAGGAUGAGAGAGAGAGAGAGAGAGAGUGUAUAGUGUUGUGAACUUGGUGUGGUUUGUGUUUUUAUAGAUGGGAAGCUCUGCCUCUGCCUUUGUGAGUGUGUGAGUGAGUGAGUGAGUGUGUUAUGAACUUUUAAAAUUUCAACCGAUUUGGUGGAAAUGGGAGAGGAUUAGGUCAUUAUAGCACAAAUAAGACUUAUUUAAUUGCGUUUUGUGCGCGUAUUUAUUUCCAUAAUUUCCUCUGUAGUGAAUAUUAAUUUAUUAUUAUAUCUGCGCCUGUGAGCACUCCCCACAGUAAGUAUGGGCGCAAUCAAUAAAUUCAACUUUUAUGGAGAAAAUAUAACGUACAAUGGAUGGUAAUGUAUGAAACAAGCAUACCACAAAAGCUUCACGUUUCAUUAUUAUAAGGAUACACCACCCUGCUUAAUGUAUCAAUAGUUUACUGAUAAUGUUAAUCUACAUAUAUAACCAACUAAUUUUCCAAAAAAGAAAGAACAUCAUUCGGAAUGUCCAUAGAAUCAGGUCGUGGAAUUGUUAGAUUUUGUAAAUUAUACUCCAGAAAAUAACAAAUAAACUGGCACAUUGAUUAAUGUCAUAAUGUGAAAAGGAAAAUUACUAUCACAUGUGCAAGUAUGUUGAUCAUACAUGAGGUCAAAGGUCUCGAAUUUUAAAUUUAUUUAUUUACGUAUGUUGAUCUAAUAAUAAAAUAGUUAAUAUAUGAGAUCGUCCCGAUCUUUAAAAAUUUAUGUAUCUUUAACUAAAAAUAAAGAAAGUUAGGUUCUCGUAUUGUUAUCAAUCAGUCAUUUGGAUUUUCGUUCUAAUUUAGUAAGACCUGGUUAUCAUGGUACAUUUAAUGCGCAUUAAUAAAAUUAAUUGUAAACCAAGUAAAAAAAAAACUUAUAAACCAAAUAGCAUUUUAUUUUUAGUUAAUUUAAAAGGUAAAAUAUUAUUUUAUUCCAACAGUAUAAAAACAUUUGCAUAUUAAAUCAAGAAAACUUAUGAAAUAAUAUGGACAUUUUAUCGUAUGAAAAAAUUUAGAUGACAACAGAAUUGACGAAUGACAUUUCUAUUCGUAUAAAACUAAUUAAUGACAUGGAAAAAUGGAGUGUUUUAUGUUUAUGUAACCUUUUUAGAGGGACGAAAAAAUAAUACAAGGUCAAGGUUGUUGUUUCUUUCUCUUAUUUAAAGUGGAAAAUAACUAAAAAUUGCUCUUUAAUUAAAAUAAAUAAAUAAAAAGCAAUUUCUUUGUGAUUCACCAAGUGUACAGUCCUACUGCUGCAAUAUGAUGAGAAUUGUUCUAUUCUUCCAUGAACAAAAGGAUCAAAACCUUCCACACCCCCCCCCCCCCCCCCCCCCCCCCCCCCUCCCCCCCCAACCCACCCUCACACCAUGUAAUCUGUUUAAUCGAUGACAAGUUUCACUUGAUUAAAAACCCCUUUAGUUUUAUUUGAACAAAACUACCAUGCACGAAUCCAUUUAUGAACUAGCUCGAUCGUAUUACACUUGAACCUUAUUAUUUAUUUAAUGAGUAUAUAUCUAAGAGUAAGUGAAUUUAAUAGAUAUAUUUAAAUAGUAAAUAAAGAUUGGAAUCAAAAUUGCAGGUUUCCUAUCAAAGGCGGGAGCAGCGUUGAGCAAUAAAUGUAUUCACAUCUUUAGGUGGAUUCUGCGUAUGAUGGAUAAUUCCAUAAAUAACUCGAAAAAAAAAUAGAAAUUCCAAAAAUUCGGGAAAAGUGGGUAGAAUAGACAAUAGAGGAGAGUAGUCAUGCGUGGAUUGUGGGUGGAGUGGGUGGGACAUGAAAAAUUAUAGUCCUACACUAACCAUGUGCCUCUUCAAAUAUUAAGGGUUAUACCAAACUCUUCUUUACACUUAUGGAAUUGAUUUUGAUGGGGGGCCUCCACACUCAUUCACAAAUUGCAUGCCUAUACCAACAUUUCACAAAUAUGGGGGUCCCCACCCACACAAAUCACACAUUACAUAUGGUUUUAAAUUAAAUGAUUCACUCUAAUUACACUACAUAUAUUAGUCCUAAGUCUCAUAGCCACUACAUUUUUAGAAAACCCAAUUUUUGCUAUGCUAAAUGUUCUAUUCACUUACCAUAUGUUAUAGCAUAGUGAAUAGUGUUUUUGGGGAAAUGGAUUUGACAAGUUUAAAUUUUAUACUUCCUCCGCCUCAUAGUCACGUCUCAAUUACUAUACUCAGAUGUCCCACUAAUAAGGUUCCAUAUUUUUUUCAACAAAAAAAUUACUUAUUUAAAAUGUUGCUAAUAGUGAACCCAACACACUUUAUACACCACAGAAUUGUUUACUUCAAAGGAUUAUGCUUGAUAAAUAAAAAUAGUAAGACUAAUCUCUUUGAUAAAUAAAAAUGUUGCUUGAUUAUUUCUGUCAUUUAAACUAAUUUUACUUGAUUCAUUGGGAUUGGAGAAAUCAUACGAUAAAAAUACUCGAUAGUGCAUCUUUUGAAUCACACAAAAUAAACACCCUCAACUCACUUAAAAUAAUCCUUAAAUACCUUCUACCAACUCACUUUAUACAUUCUUUUUAAACUACACUUUUCUUAAUCUUCUUGCCAAAAAGUAACGAGACGACAUUACUAAUGAGACAAAUGAAGUAUUUUGUUUUGUUCUAAAAAAAUAAGAUUGUUCUUAUAUUAUCAAGUAGGACAAUAUUCGUAUAGUUGUAUGUUAUAUGAUGGUGCAUUUAUAUAAUUGUUAAUUAAUUCUUAAAAGUUUUGUAACUCCUAAACUUACAUCAUUUAUUAGUAUUAUGAAAAAGACUCACAUUAUUACAAUUACAAUACUCUUUAAAUUUCGACAAUCAGUUAGAUUUUUCGUUCUUAGAUAAUUCUACUCAUUCUAGAUUUAAACAUGAUAAAUUCAUUGGACAUUAUAUGUCCAAGUAAAAAAUGUAUUCCUAUUUCUUAACUUAAUAAUAUGUAUAUAUAAAUGUAUAACUUUCCCAUAAUCUUUCAUCUACUAUGUUAAUUGAUACACACCAACUCUACCAGCCCCCUCUGUCUUCCUAGACCACCGUGUACUUUUCUUUCUUCUUUGGGCUCAAGUAAUAAAUGUUUUCAACUAUGAUUUUAUCACUAUUUAUGUUUUUAAGUUAAUGACUUUUAAUUCGAUGGGUUGCCCCUUUUAUGUUUGGUUCUAUUAUGGAAACAUAAUUGGUGGGGGUGAUUUGAGAAAUUUAUAUUUCCAUUCAUUAUUUGGCUCAUAUUCAAUAUAUAUCCAACAAAUUAUUUAAAAUUUAGCGACGCAACUACUUAAUGCAUAACGCAUUAUUACCGGCUCGCUACUGCCACUUUAUGUUGUUUUCGUGCCUUGAAGAAUUGCAUGUGGCGAUAAUUAAUAAUAAUAAUUUCACAUAAUGAAAACGUCAAAAUUUCGGGUUGUUUUUUCUUCCGUUUUUAAUUAUUUGGAUGGGGUUGCAGAUUCAGCAUUAAGGGAUGCAUAAAUGAUGAUGGCAUCUUAUAUAGGUCUCUAUGAUCAACCUCACCUAUCUGUAAUUGUUUUUUGGGUAACUCUAAAAAAAAAUAUAAAAUUAUAAAUCAAAAUUAGUAAAAUAAUAAUAAUGUCUAUAGUGGGGCACCGUUUUGGUGUGGAGUUCGAAAGGGGAUGGUUAGUUAAUCAAAUUACCAAAUCACAUUUAGUUAGCAAGUGUUUGACCAAUCAGCCUUUCCAAUUUGUCAAACACCUUUACACAAUCACAUUUGCCUUUGUUUUUUUCUUGGGCUAAGCGAAAUUCUUGCGCGAUUAUCGGAAAACAUAAAUUUUCAUAGAAAUUGCAAAACGAGGCCCAUAAAUACCGUUUGGAAUGGAUGACAUGUCAGUGCCCCUUCCUUUUUCCUCGUAUUUCUGAAAUAAUAAAUCUAUCCCACAUUGUGACCACCUACACAUUAGUAUGAUAAGAAAAAUCUUAAUUUAUUUAAUUUAUUUUUAAAAAUAAAAAUAGGAGUUAGUUAUUUUACUAUAUUCUCUACAUUGUAAUUAUUUUUUUUUAUUUUUUUUACAUUUUUUAUUUUUAAUUUAUUUUAUAAUAAAAAUAAAAAGUUGCCAAAAAAUUACAAAAAAAUAAUUACAAUGUAGAGAAUAUGAUAAAAUAACUAAAUCUUAUUUUUAUUUUAAAAAAUAAGUUAAAUAAAUUAAAUUAUUUUUUAUUUAAGUAAAUUGUGGGUGGCCACAAUGUGGCUGUUUAGCAUUACUCUUUCUGAAAUUAGAUGGUUUUAAAUUGUAAGUAGUAUUGUAUAUCGUGUAAUACAUGAAAGUAAAAUAUACUAAAUUACUAAUACUCCAUUAUAAAAUGAAAAAUAAAAGUAUACUCAAUAUUUAGGUAAAUAAUUGUCUCAAGACACAAAGUAAUUGAAUAUUAGUGAGCCGAUGUUAUUACUAAUUGAAAUACUCCCUCCGUCCUGCGAAGCGUGACCCACUUUCUUUUUUGGGUUGUCCCACGAAGUUUGACCUAUUUCUAAAAAUGGCAAAAAAUUUACCCUUUAUUCACCUUUUCACUUUUUCACCUACCACACUUAACACACAAAAUACUAAUUUUUAAUUUCGUGCUGAAAAGAAAUGAGUCACGCUUCAUGGGACGGAGGGAGUAUAUACCUAUUUUAAAUAAAAGAGAGUAUGCAUAAAAAAGUGGGUAGUAAAAUGAGUCCAUCAAAUACAAAGUCUCGUAUGCAAAAGACCUUGUGUAGCUUCAAUUAGUGAAUUUUACAAUUUUAGGGUGUCAAAUUUUGAUCUUUCUUCGCAGCGUCCAUUCUCUUAUUCAAUUCAUAUUUUCAAUCACUCCUGAUCAAUCGAUUAUCAAUGCAGGGCUGACCUUAUAUCUAGGGGUGAGCAAAAACCGAACCGACCGAAAAAACCGACCAAAAAAUGGCCGAACCGAUCGGUUUUCGGUCGGUUUUUCCGGCCUGGGCGGUCGGUUCGGCCCAAAUUUUUUAGAAAUUUCGGUUUGGUCGGCCGGUUCGGUUUUCUCGAUUUUGGCCGGUCGAAAACCGAACCGACCGAACUAUUUAGUUUACUAGGGUUUUUUUUUCUCCCACUAAUUCUCCCUAACCUAAUUCCUCUCCAUUGCGCCGCACCCCACCCCACCCGCAGGCCCUCUGCCCUUCACCCCUACGGACAACCACCAGCCGAGCGCCGGCGAACCAGAACCCUAGCCCAGUCCGAGGCAGCGCCGAACAGCAGCCUGGAACUCGCAGCCGUCGCCGCGACCGCGAUUCGCGAAGAACCCCAGCCCGCAGUCGUCGUCGCCGCGCCCAGCCCGCAGCUGUCGUCGCCGCGCCCAGCCCACAGCCGUCGUCGUCCACAGCACAGGUUAGUUUCGGAGCGGUGAGCCUUCCUCUGCACCGCCGCCUCACCUCCACACCUGAGCGAGUCGCGCCGCCGCCUCACCUCCAACUGUUGCUUCUCUGAGUCGUGCCGCCGCUGCCAGUUCGGCUCGGCUCCUAUUCGGUCGGUCGAAAACCGAUUAUUUCCACGGUUCGGUGAUCGGCCGGUUGGUCUUUCGAACGUCGGUCGGCUCGGCCCAUAAAUCCUCCAAACCGUCGGCCCAUCGGUUUGCGUUUUUUUGGUCGGUCGGCCGGCCGAACCGACCGAUGCACAGCCCUACUUAUAUCUCAUAUGACCCUAAGCAUAAUUAUAAAUGAACCUUAUAUUUUUUUAUAUGAGCGACAAAGAAUAAUAUAUUAACAUAAUAUUUUUUAAUUAAUUAUUCAAGAGUUUUUCAACCUAAAGAAAAGAAUAGAGAAGGCACUAACAACAUUAAUAAAUUUGGGGCCCUAAAAACUAAUAAAUAAAAAAAUUGUGCCCCAAAAAAUUUAGAGCCCUAACUAGCAACUUGUUGAGCAUAUAGUCAGGUAGGGAUUUGCUUUGAUCGAUGCAACCCAUACUCGAUUGGAUAGCAUGAGAAGUAUAGUACUCCCUCCGUCCCAUUACAAAUGUCCCACUUUUCAUAAUAGAACGUCCCAUUCUUUUUUUGACAAUAUAUUCUAUAUCUAUACCUAAUAUUUAAACAAUUUUCACCAACUCACUUUAUAUACUGUCUAUAUAUUUCUUAAUCUUCGUGUCCAAAAGUAAUGAGACAUUUGUAAUGAGACGGAGCUAGGGAGUACGUACAUCUUAUAACCCUCUUUUUUGUUUGAAAAAAUGAAAAUCGUGAAGACUAUUGGUAUAGAGGAAUGCAAAUAAACAGUGCAACACAUGUACUAAUAUUUAAAGAAUAAUGAAAUAUAUAAUAUUAAUAAUAAAAUAAUUAGCUAAUAAAAACAUAUAUACGUAUUAUGUUAUAACAAUCGAAAAUUCUAAACACGAAUAGAUUUUUUUUUACUAAGCGUAAUAGAUAUAAUAACUUAAUAAUGGCAAUAAAUAAGACAAUAAAUGAAGGGAAAAAAGGUAAUUAUUGGAUUAUAGCAGGAAAAAAAGAAAAAGAGGGGACUUUAGUUGAUCGUUGUGCAUCCAACAGUGAAAGCUGAGCGGGAUACAGUUCAGAAGAUCUGAGCUGGCUGGAGUUAGGGAUGGCAACGGGCCGGAUCUGGACCGGGUCUGGACAAUACCAGAUCCAGAUCCGUUUUUAUAUACUAGAUCCAGAUCCGGAUCCAGAUCCGCGGAUCUGAAAAUUUUGGAUCCAGAUCCGUCAGAUCCGCGGAUCCGCGGGUCCAGAUCCAUGGAUCUUGUUUUCAAAUUAAAUUCACAAAAUUAAAAAGCAUAUUUACAAUUACAAGGGUACAAAAAAGAAAACGUCUAUUAACCCAAAACUAUCAAAUUCAAAUAACACAUGAUCUUGACUUCCACUUGUGUUACAAAAACUAUAUUCAUUAUUCAGUGAUGAGCCACUUUCAGUGAGUUCAGUGACGAUUCAACAGCUAACUAAGCAAGAAGCUGCACAGACAGAACCCCCUGACAACAAUAUGAAACAUGGCUCUGUUGACAAUUUAGUGAAUGAAGCAUGCAAUGAGACUAUUGGACCUCAACAAAGUGAUAACAAUAACUUUUAAAAAGGUUCAAUCCAGAGAACCGAGCUGUUGUUUCUCAUUUAUUCCAUCAAUGGGCAAAGAAGCCUGCGUUUCAUGAUCCCACGAGAUUACUCACAAAGGUUUCUUUUGUCAUUGAUGAACGUCUGCGUGCAAAAAAGAGUGCAAACAAGGAUGUUUUGCGUGAUUUGAAGUCCUGUUUAAAAUCUGAUGAGGCUUAUCACUAUGCUGUAUCGGUUCUGUCAUGGCUGCAAAUUCCUCCGGAUAAACAUAGCUCUGGUUCCUCACUGAUAUUUUCGCCAAGUUUAAGACAAACAUUCAUAAAUUUCAAAUAUAAAUCAAUUCAAAUCUGAAUCAAAAUUUCAGUCAUAAACAUGCUCAAAAUCAAAAUCUAACCUUUGAUUCAGAGCAUCCUGUGGUAGAGAAACUCAUGGCUGAACGACGGCGGCGCCGCGGCGGUGGAGUUUGGCGGCGAGCCGAACUGGAGUGACAGAGAGGCGGCGAGCCGAACUGGAGUCUAGCGGCGUGCUGCUGCUGUUCCUGCCUUCGCCGGCGACGGGCGGACGAAUUGUAGAAGGAGACCGGCGAUGGGAGUUCGUGCUGCUGGAGUCGGGAGUGUGCUGCACUACUGCUGUUGUUCCCUAUUUCUCCGGCGGCGGGCGGGCGAGCGAAGUGGAGAAGGCGACCGGCGAUGGAGGUGAGGCGGCGUGACUGAGGCCGAGAAGGAGAUGGCCGAUGAGAGAUGGGAGUGAGGCGGCGCAGGAGUGAGAAGUUGAAGAAUCGAGAGGGGAGAGAGAGAUGAAUUAGAAAUUAGGUUUUCAAAGUUAUUCUAUUUUUUUUAAAUAUAUCUAAUAUUAUAAAUAAAAUAAAUAUAAAAAUAAAUAUUAUAUUUUAAAUUAAAUCGGAUCCAUGGGUCGGAUCUGGGUCGGAUCUGGAUCUCAAAUGUCAAGAUCCAGAUCCAGAUCUGUUUUAGAAAAUGAGAUCCAGAUCCGGAUCCAGAUCCGCGGAUCCAAAAAAUUGAGAUCCAGAUCCGUGAAAUCGGAUCUGAAUCCACGGAUCUGGACCGGGUCCAGGAUCCAUUGCCAUCCCUAACUAGAUACUUUAUCAAACUGAAUAGUGUGGUGUGUGGAUUUGGUUAAGGUAGUCAUAGUCCAAUAUUAAUUGAUACAUGUCCAUGAGCAUGUUCAUUGCUUGUCUGUUUUCGACUAAAACACAAAGACUUGCCCCUACCUAUCAACACACCAGGUCCACACACUAUUAAACUAAUUUGGAGAAAUGUUAUUAGCUACUAGUAAAAUAUUACGAAUUUGAAUUUUGACAUAAUAUCGUUUUCUAGAUGAAGUUCUUUUUGUAUAAUUUUCAAACUAUUGUCUUUAUAGUAGGACACAUGCGUAUAUACAAUUUGUUAAAAAAAUCCCUAUUCUUGAAAGAUUUUAGCAAAAUAAAUUGGAAAAACCCAAAACUCAAGACUUGAAUCACUUGUGAUUGAUUUCUUGAGAAAAAGAUGGUGUCCAUCCUAGAAACUUUUCCACAAUGAAAGCAAGCAAUUAUGAGGCGCAGAUGUUGGUUGAAUGCCAUUGCCCCUUCUACUAAGAAAGACCAACUAUUUCUUUAGUCUUCACAAUCUUCACAUUAAUAUACAAGGCUAAUCUACUCGGAAUUUGCACAUGAUAUAGGUGGGAUGCCAUGGGAUGUGUAUAUAUAUCUACAAAUAAUUGUGCACCCUUCAAAUUUCUGUGUACGAAAACAGUCUCUGUACCAUCUUCUGCUAUUUAUGUUAAUUGAAUACUAAGUAGGAGUAUUAUAUACGGCAAAAAAGAAGAUAUCAGAAAAUUAAAUACAUAGCAAAUCUAAAAAUAGUAAAGAUUUAGAAGUCAGUUAUCAAUCUUGGAGAGAAACGGGAGCCCAAAACAAAAGCGAGAGCAAACAAGAUAUUAGGAACAAGGAUUGGAAUCAAUGGAUUAAUGUCGUUCCCCAGCCUUCUCCGUCUGAAUCUGGACCUCGCAUAUCUUCUCCUCUCCUCCUCGCCCACUCGGCGGCACCCACCCUUUGGCCACAACAGCGGCGGAGGCAAUUGAUAGGGGCAUUUGCACCGCCACGAGGUCUCCGGCAGCCCCCAUCUGCGGCCCCUUUGAUGAACUGAGAGAAGGCCCAUCUCAUGAGCGGAGGCGCCGAUGAGGCGGCGCGCCGGCAGAGGAGCGGGGGGUAGUCCCGAGUCGAGGUAGCGAGGGGAUUUGGGCGGCGAUGAAUAUCUGAGAGUGGAGCGGCGGCGCGUGAGUUGGGCUGGUUAGGAUGUGAGUCAGCGCGUGGAGUUUUUGCUCCCAACUCGUAUUGUCCAUCGUUUGUUGUUGUUGAUGUGAGAGAUAGGAUGAAACUAUUAAAUAUAAUUGCUAAAAUAUUACUGCUAUGUAUCUGCACGAUGCAAUAAAUCUAUGCAGCCACAUUUUGGUCACCCACACACUAGGUUAGGUCUCAGUCUCGUCGAUUGUCUACUAGUAUAAUUUUUUUGGUAGCACGAGCAUAUUACAAAUUUCAUUUUCUGUUUGUAAACAAUUAAAUUGUCGUCGAAUUAAAUCGUGCCACGUGUAAAUUCAUGAAUUAAAUAUUUAAUUAUAUUUUCUAUUUUAUUAAAUGGGAUUUUAUUCCUAAUUAAAUAGAUAUAUAUGAUUAAUAUUUAAUAAAAUGAAUUAAUGGGCUUAUUGGCCACUUAAGGCCCUAAGGCCCAUACAUGGAGGCCCAAAGCCCAUAAAGCCCAUGAAGCCCAUCUCUAAAAUCUAUAAAUAGAGGUGUUGGGGUGCUCAUUAUAACAACGUGAAGGAGCGGAAGAUCGAAGAGCAUAAAGAAUUCUCUCUAGUAUCACAAGUUGAAGUGGAAGAUUGAGGAGUUCAAAGAAUUCUAUCAAGUAUCAAGUAUUCAUCAAGUAUCCUUCAAAUCUUCAAGAUCUUCAAGGCAACAUUCAAGUAUCCUUCGAACAUUCAAGUAUUUGAGCAUUCAAAUCUUCAAGUAUUUGAGCGUUUAAAUCUUCAAGUAUCUUGAAGAAUUCUAUCUAGCGUUCAAGUCUUCUUCGAAUCUUCAAGUAUUUGAGCAUUCAAAUCUUCAAGUAUUCUUCAAGUAUCUUCAAGUGAUCAAACCUUCAAAUCUUCAAGUGAUCAAGGCGUUCUUACAAAUUCCAAGAACGAUCUUCUUCAAAUCAAAUCAAUCAAGUUCGAAAGCUUCAAGGCGUUCUUACAAAUUCUAAGGACGUUCUUCAAAUCAAAUCAAAUCAAGUUCGAAAGCUUCAAGGCGUUCUUACAAAAUUCUAAGGACGUUCUUCUCAAAUCAAAUCAAGUUCAACGUUCAAUCCAAAAUCACGACUUAAGUCCCUUGGAUUGGCGUCAUCAAAUCAAGUAUUUCAAUAACCUUCGAGCUUGUUCAAGAAUCAAAUGGAAGAGAAGAAUCAGAGGAUUAACUAGAGAUUGCAACCCGCAUAAAAUCUAUCUUCAAAUCUAUCAAAUUAUCUUUGUAACUCAUUUUGUAUUUUAUCAAAUUGAAAUACAAAAAUUUGUGUUUACAAAUUUUGGCACGCCCGGUGGGACAUCUCUACCUCUCAUCUCUACUCUUCACCAAAAAUCUUGAACUAUGUCUAUUCAAUCAAAUGCAGCUGCUCCAGCUUCAUCUAAAGGUUCUUCGGCAAGCGUUGGUAUGAUCACGCGAAGCAAAUCGAAAUCAUUGCAAGGAGUGUCCAAGCCGAUCUUUCAUCUUCCAUCUAUCCAUGAAGAAGAUGACAACUUUGAGAGAAGCUUCACAUUCCCCACUGAAAAUUAUCAACUCCAUGCAAGUGUCAUGAUGACAAACACUUCCACCAUGGAGGAACAACUCUUGAACUUGACAAAGAUGGUUGAAUCUCUAACCAAGCACAUCCAAGAGCAAGAUGCCCAGAUUGCAAAGCUUAAAGGAGAAAAAGGAGAUUCAAGCCACGCCAACAACGAUAGGGAAGGCGAAGAAAGCGAAGAAGAUGGUGA